CUUUAUUGGAGAGUUUGAUCCUGGCUCAGGACGAACGCUGGCGGCGUGCCUAAUACAUGCAAGUCGAGCGAAUCGAUGGGAGCUUGCUCCCUGAGAUUAGCGGCGGACGGGUGAGUAACACGUGGGUAACCUGCCUGUAAGAUUGGGAUAACUCCGGGAAACCGGAGCUAAUACCGGAUAAUAUUUUGAACCGCAUGGUUCAAAAUUGAAAGAUGGUUUCGGCUAUCACUUACAGAUGGACCCGCGGCGCAUUAGCUAGUUGGUGAGGUAACGGCUC
rnacentral:rRNA from 1 species